GUGAUACUUUGGUCUCCUAUGAAGAGCAGCUAAAAGAGCCACCGAUGCAUGAGGCAUAAAAACUGCACUGGCAUUAACAAGGACAUCCUCUUUCCUGGGAUGAUUUGAGACAUGGUGGAAAAGAGCUGAAAGAUAAGACCAGGCCUCAAAAGACUUUACAUACUGAGCCAGCACGUAAAAGAAAAGCUGAGGAGCUCAACUUCAUUUGAGGGACCAGGACAACCAGCAUCCUGAGAGGUUUUAGCACAGAAGCAUGAAAGUAAGCUUGAGACCAUCAAGGUAAGGAAUUAGCAAGGGUGAAACAGGACAGCCAGCAGCUUCUCAGAACUCACAAAGAUAACUAGGACAUCCACGAUCUUUCCAAGAAGAGCUGCUGAAGUCCGGCACCCAUCAACCCCCUGAGCUUCCCAUGGCCGAGGAACCCACCCGGGGACACCCAACCCCGCAGUCCUGAGCGGGAAGGGGACGGGGACCAUCACCGCGCGUCCCGGAGAGGGAAAGGUCUGGGAGGGAAUGCCUGGCACGAAGGGAGCGGGCCCGCACUUGGGGACAGGCGGGAGAGGGGCCGGGGAAGGGCRGCCGCCGCACCGAGCCCCGAGUUCCCUCGGCCGGGCACAGCGAGCACCGAGAGGCGGAGCGCCCCCUUCCCCGGGGACGGGACGGGACGGGACGCGCUCCCUUACCCACG